AACGAACGCUGGCGGCAGGCCUAACACAUGCAAGUCGAGCGCCCCGCAAGGGGAGCGGCGGACGGGUGAGUAACGCGUGGGAAAGUACCUUUUGCUUCGGAAUAGCCUCGGGAAACUGGGAGUAAUACCGAAUGUGCCCUAUGGCGGAAAGAUUUAUCGGCAAAAGAUCGGCCCGCGUUGGAUUAGGUAGUUGGUGGGGUAAUGGCCUACCAAGCCGACGAUCCAUAGCUGGUUUGGGAGGAUGAUCAGCCACACUGGGACUGAUACACGGCCCAGACUCCUACGGGAGGCAGCAGUGGGGAAUCUUAGACAAUGGGCGCAAGCCUGAUCUAGCCAUGCCGCGUGAGCGAAGAAGGCCUUAGGGUUGUAAAGCUCUUUCGUGGGGGAAGAUAAUUACUGUACCCCAAGAAGAAGCCCCGGCUAACUCCGUGCCAGCCGCCGCAGUAA
rnacentral:rRNA from 1 species